GCCUUCUUAGCUCAGUGGUAGAGCGUUGGUCUCGUAGUAAAUUCAAGUGAACCAAAGGCCGAGAGUUCAAUCCUCUCAGAAGGCA
rnacentral:tRNA from 1 species